GAGCGGCGAACGGGUGAGUAACACGUGGGUGAUCUGCCUCGUACUCUGGGAUAAGCCUGGGAAACUGGGUCUAAUACCGGAUAGGACUGCCGGAUGCAUGUCUGGUGGUGGAAAGAUUUAUCGGUGCGAGAUGGGCCCGCGGCCUAUCAGCUUGUUGGUGGGGUAAUGGCCUACCAAGGCGACGACGGGUAGCCGACCUGAGAGGGUGACCGGCCACACUGGGACUGAGACACGGCCCAGACUCCUACGGGAGGCAGCAGUGGGGAAUAUUGCACAAUGGGCGGAAGCCUGAUGCAGCGACGCCGCGUGAGGGAUGACGGCCUUCGGGUUGUAAACCUCUUUCGACAGGGACGAAGCGCAAGUGACGGUACCUGUAUAAGAAGCACCGGCCAACUACGUGCCAGCAGCCGCGGUAAUACGUAGGGUGCGAGCGUUGUCCGGAAUUACUGGGCGUAAAGAGCUUGUAGGCGGUUCGUCGCGUCGAUUGUGAAAACUUGCAGCUCAACUGCAAGCUUGCAGUCGAUACGGGCGGACUAGAGUACUUCAGGGGAGACUGGAAUUCCUGGUGUAGCG
rnacentral:rRNA from 1 species